rnacentral:rRNA from 1 species
GGCAGCGGGGUAGUGCUUGCACUACUGCCGGCGACCGGCGCACGGGUGAGUAACACGUAUGGAACCUGCCCGCAGCAGGGGGAUAAGCGGAAGAAAUUCCGUCUAAUACCGCGUAACAACGUUGGGAGGCAUCUCCCGAUGUUUAAAGAUUUAUCGGCUGCGGAUGGCCAUGCGGCGCAUUAGCUAGUCGGCGGGGUAACGGCCCACCGAGGCGACGAUGCGUAGGGGUUCUGAGAGGAAGGUCCCCCACACUGGUACUGAGACACGGACCAGACUCCUACGGGAGGCAGCAGUGAGGAAUAUUGGUCAAUGGCCGAGAGGCUGAACCAGCCAAGUCGCGUGAGGGAAGACGGCCCUACGGGUUGUAAACCUCUUUUGUCGGGGAGCAAAGCGAACCACGUGUGGUUCAUUGAGAGUACCCGAAGAAAAAGCAUCGGCUAACUCCGUGCCAGCAGCCGCGGUAAUACGGAGGAUGCGAGCGUUAUCCGGAUUUAUUGGGUUUAAAGGGUGCGCAGGCGGAGGUGCAAGUCAGCGGUCAAAUUGCGGGGCUCAACCCCGUACUGCCGUUGAAACUGCAUCCCUUGAGUGCGCGAGAAGUAUGCGGAAUGCGUGGUGUAGCGGUGAAAUGCAUAGAUAUCACGCAGAACUCCGAUUGCGAAGGCAGCAUACCGGCGCGCAACUGACGCUCAUGCACGAAAGCGUGGGUAUCGUACAAGGUUAGAUACCCUGGUAGUCCACGCAGUAAACGAUGAACAUAAACUUUUCGGCCAGAAUGAUGGCUGAGUGGUACAGCGAAAGCGUUAAGUGUUCCACCUGGGGAGUACGCCGGCAACGGUGAAACUCAAAGGAAUUGACGGGGGCCCGCACAAGCGGAGGAACAUGUGGUUUAAUUCGAUGAUACGCGAGGAACCUUACCCGGGCUCAAACGACACAGGAAUACUUUUGAAAGGAGGUAGCCCUACGGGGUCUGUGUCGAGGUGCUGCAUGGUUGUCGUCAGCUCGUGCCGUGAGGUGUCGGCUUAAGUGCCAUAACGAGCGCAACCCCUAUCGCCAGUUACCAUCAAGUAAAGUUGGGGACUCUGGCGAGACUGCCGGCGCAAGCUGAGAGGAAGGCGGGGAUGACGUCAAAUCAGCACGGCCCUUACGUCCGGGGCGACACACGUGUUACAAUGGCAGGUACAGAGAGAAGCCAGGUGGCGACACCGCGCGGAACUCGAAAGCCUGUCUCAGUUCGGAUCGGAGUCUGCAACCCGACUCCGUGAAGCUGGAUUCGCUAGUAAUCGCGCAUCA